AAUAGGGAAAUGCUGCCACCUGGUGUCUACAGCGGAAGUACAACAGAUAGAAAACAAGCACCAAAUCUGCACUUAAACAUGUGAAUGUGGUUUAAAUCUUAGACUAUAAAAAAUCUCUCCAUCACUGCAGUAAAUCAUUCACACUCCUCACUGAGUUCAGAUACUGAAUUCUUAAGUAAAGAGUAAAAAAAGUUCCCCCGUGGGACAUCUUGGCAGAGGCUCUGCAGAAACCAACACCCAUGAUUCCCUCCUCCUCCUCCUCCUCCUUCCCCUCUUAUGGUAUGUCGAAGUGGGAUUUUUGGCGCAGACAGACAAAGGCAUUUUCAGACAGGAGGGUGUGAGACGGUUCAGUUGUCGAGGCCUCAAUGCACGAUUCAUUUAACAACAUGGGAGCUCCGAGACAAGACAGUCGAGCAGUUGUUUGGAGAACGCUCAACAUACAGAGGACUUUUGUGGAAGAACACUCGCAGUGACGAAUCAUGGGAGAAAGGUUUUGUGGUGACUUUUAAAUGUGAAAAGUUUUGUUCCAGGACGAAGAACUCUGACGCCUCCUCUGAUGACGUGAUUGACAGCUGAGAUUAAAACCAAUUAUGAAGAUAUUUCAGUAAUUAAAGACCUGGCUCUACUCCAGUCCAGAAGGUGCUGGUGAUGCAGCUGAAGACAAAACCACAGAAGAAGAAAAACGUCAGUUAAAGAACUGAACACACCAGCCAGAUGGGGUUAGUUCUGCAGGACGGAGCAGUGCAUGCUCCAAGAAAGCUCCAUGUGUAAAUUAAAUGCUGCAUUGAUGCUUCCCACGGG